GGGCCCACACAAGCGGUGGAGUAUGUGGUUUAAUUCGAUGCAACGCGAAGAACCUUACCAGGGUUUGACAUCCUGCGAAUCUCUUGGAAACGAGAGAGUGCCUUUGGGAACGCAGUGACAGGUGGUGCAUGGCUGUCGUCAGCUCGUGUCGUGAGAUGUUGGGUUAAGUCCCGCAACGAGCGCAACCCACGUCUUUAGUUGCCAGCAUUUAGUUGGGCACUCUAGAGAGACUGCCGGUGAUAAACCGGAGAAGGUGUGGAUGACGUCAAGUCAUCAUGCCCCUUACAUCUGGGCUACACACGUACUACAAUGCUACGGACAAAGGGCAGCAAGUUCGCGAGGACAAGCAAAUCCCAUAAACGUGGCUC
rnacentral:rRNA from 1 species